rnacentral:rRNA from 1 species
GAUCAUGGCUCAGGAUGAACGCUGGCGGCGUGCUUAACACAUGCAAGUCGGAACGAUUGAGGCUGGAGCUUGCUCCGGCCGAUUUAGUGGCGGACGGGUGAGUAACGCGUGGGUAACCUGCCUCAUACAGGGGGAUAGCAGUUGGAAACGACUGGUAAAACCGCAUAAGCGCACGGUAUCGCAUGAUACAGUGUUGAAAACACUCCGGUGGUAAUGAGAUGGACUCGCGU